CCUACGGGAGGCAGCAGUGGGGGAUAUUGCACAAUGGGGGAAACCCUGAUGCAGCGACGCCGCGUGGGUGAAGAAGCGCCUCGGCGCGUAAAGCUCUGUCAGCAGGGGAGAAAAUGACGGUACCUGAAGAAGAAGCCCCGGCUAACUACGUGCCAGCAGCCGCGGUAAUACGGAGGGGGCAAGCGUUAUCCGGAUUUACUGGGUGUAAAGGGGGCGCAGACGGAGCUGCAAGCCAGGAGUGAAAGCCCCGGGCUCAACCCCGGGACUGCUCUUGGAACUGCGUGGCUAGAGUGCAGGAGGGGCAGGCGGAAUUCCUGGUGUAGCGGUGAAAUGCGUAGAUAUCAGGAGGAACACCGGUGGCGAAGGCGGCCUACUGGACUGCAACUGACGUUGAGGCCCGAAAGCGUGGGGAGCAAACAGGAUUAGAUACCCCAGUAGUC
rnacentral:rRNA from 1 species